GAGGAGGUGAAAGAGAAGGAAGAAGGGAAGGCAGAGCCGAAUAGGGAGGAGGAAUAGGACAGAGGGAAGAAGAGAAGGCAGGGUGAGGGAGGAGGCGGAGGGAGAGGAGCGCACGCGGCGAGUGCGCGGCCGGGUUCGCUGGUUGAGAGCGAAGAGGGGGUGUGCAUUGGCACCGAGAGGGACCCGGGGCCGGCGAGGGCGAUCGCAGCUUCGGGAGGUAGAAAGAGUGCAGGGCGCGGGCCCAGGCGGGCGGAGGAGUGAGCGUCAAACGGGCUCUGGGGUGCACGGUCCCAGCCCUUGCAUCUCGGGAGCUGGGGCUCCCGUUCUGGGGACAGCCAGGCUGGAAGUCCCAGGAGAAGGGGAGGGAAGAGCUAGGGGGUCGGGCGCUGGGAAAGGGUCGCUCCGAGGCCUCUUGGAUGGGGGGUGCGGCUCGCCUGAGCGCCCCUCAAGCGCUGGUACUCUGGGCCGCACUGGGAGCGGCAGCUCACAUCGGACCCGCACCUGAUCCCGAGGACUGGUGGAGCUACAAGGAGAAUCUCCAGGGAAACUUCGUGCCAGGGCCUCCCUUCUGGGGCCUGGUGAACGCUGCCUGGAGUCUGUGCGCUGUGGGGAAGCGGCAGAGCCCUGUGGAUGUGGAGCUGAAGCGGGUUCUUUAUGACCCUUUUCUGCCCCCGCUCAGGCUCAGCACCGGGGGAGAGAAGCUCCGGGGAACCUUAUACAACACUGGCCGCCAUGUCUCCUUCCUACCUGCAUCCCGGCCUGUGGUCAACGUGUCUGGGGGUCCCCUUCUCUAUAGCCACCGACUCAGUGAACUGCGGCUGCUGUUUGGAGCUCGAGAUGGUGCUGGCUCCGAACACCAGAUCAACCAUCAAGGCUUCUCUGCUGAGGUGCAGCUAAUCCACUUCAACCAAGAACUCUAUGGGAAUCUCAGUGCUGCCUCAAGGGGCCCCAAUGGCCUGGCCAUUCUCAGCCUCUUUGUCAACGUGAGGGAGGCAUGAUGGGCAACUGGCUUCCAGGGUGUGAGGGACAAGGGAGGCUGGGAGGCUAACCUGGGGUGGUGGGUCUCUGUGGAGCCCUGGGCUGCUGUCUUCCUCGCCUCGUGCCUCCUGCAUAGGUGGCUGGCAGCUCCAACCCGUUCCUUAGUCGCCUCCUCAACCGGGACACUAUUACCCGAAUCUCCUACAAAAAUGAUGCCUACUUUCUUCAAGACCUGAGCCUGGAGCUCCUGUUCCCGGAAUCCUUUGGCUUCAUCACCUAUCAGGGAUCUCUCAGCACUCCUCCCUGCUCUGAGACUGUCACCUGGAUCCUCAUCGACAGGGCUCUCAAUAUUACCUCCCUCCAGAUGCACUCCCUGAGACUCCUGAGCCAGAAUCCCCCCUCCCAGAUCUUCCAGAGCCUCAGUGGUAAUGGCCGGCCCUUGCAGCCCCUGGCCCACAGAGCCUUGAGGGGCAACAGGGACCCCCGGCACCCCGAGAGGCGCUGCCGAGGCCCCAACUACCGCCUGCAUGUGGAUGGUGGUCCUCAUGGUCGCUGAGACUCCCCAACGAGGAUUACGCCCGCCUGUUCUGAGUUUCCUCACCAGGGGAGGGGAAUUCACCCCAAAACAAAGCUAUUAAAGGGACUGAAUGUUUCCAGUU
rnacentral:lncRNA from 1 species